rnacentral:rRNA from 1 species
UGGGGAAUCUUGGACAAUGGGGGCAACCCUGAUCCAGCCAUGCCGCGUGGACGAUGAAGGCCCUAGGGUUGUAAAGUCCUUUCACCGGUGAAGAUAAUGACGGUAGCCGGAGAAGAAGCCCCGGCUAACUCCGUGCCAGCAGCCGCGGUAAUACGGAGGGGGUUAGCGUUGUUCGGAAUUACUGGGCGUAAAGCGCACGUAGGCGGACCAGAAAGUUGGGGGUGAAAUCCCGGGGGCUCAACCCCGGAACUGCCUCCAAAACUAUUGGUCUAGAGUUCGAGAGAGGUGAGUGGAAUUCCAAGUGUAGAGGUGAAAUUCGUAGAUAUUUGGAGGAACACCAGUGGCGAAGGCGGCUCACUGGCUCGAUACUGACGCUGAGGUGCGAAAGUGUGGGGAGCAAACAGGAUUAGAUACCCUGGUAGUCCACACCGUAAAACGAUGAAUGCCAGUCGUCGGGUAGCAUGCUAUUCGGUGACACACCUAACGGAUUAAGCAUUCCGCCUGGGGAGUACGGUCGCAAGAUU